rnacentral:rRNA from 1 species
CCUACGGGGGGCUGCAGUGGGGAAUAUUGGACAAUGGGCGCAAGCCUGAUCCAGCCAUGCCGCGUGAGUGACGAAGGCCUUAGGGUUGUAAAGCUCUUUUGGCGGGGACGAUAAUGACGGUACCCGCAGAAUAAGCCCCGGCUAACUUCGUGCCAGCAGCCGCGGUAAUACGAAGGGGGCUAGCGUUGUUCGGAAUCACUGGGCGUAAAGCGCACGUAGGCGGACCUUCAAGUCAGGGGUGAAAUCCCGGGGCUCAACCUCGGAACUGCCUGUGAUACUGUUGGUCUUGAGUCCGAGAGAGGUGGGUGGAAUUCCUAGUGUAGAGGUGAAAUUCGUAGAUAUUAGGAAGAACACCGGUGGCGAAGGCGGCCCACUGGCUCGGUACUGACGCUGAGGUGCGAAAGCGUGGGGAGCAAACAGGAUUAGAUACCCUAGUAGUC